UUUGGGAAGUGAUGAUAAGAUAUAUCGAUUAUGUCAUAGGCAUAUGCGAUGCUGAACAACAUAUAUUUGCACGUCAGUCUGAUCCCAAU
rfam:Arabis alpina cultivar Pajares chromosome 4, whole genome shotgun sequence.